UACGUAGGGUGCGAGCGUUAAUCGGAAUUACUGGGCGUAAAGCGUGCGCAGGCGGUUAUGCAAGACAGAGGUGAAAUCCCCGGGCUCAACCUGGGAACUGCCUUUGUGACUGCAUGGCUAGAGUACGGUAGAGGGGGAUGGAAUUCCGCGUGUAGCAGUGAAAUGCGUAGAUAUGCGGAGGAACACCGAUGGCGAAGGCAAUCCCCUGGACCUGUACUGACGCUCAUGCACGAAAGCGUGGGGAGCAAACAGG
rnacentral:rRNA from 1 species